CUCCAGUUGAUCCUGCUGGAGGGUACUGCUAUCAGAAUACGGCUAAGCCAUGCAAGUCAGUUCAGCCACUUGGUUGGACGGCGUACGGCUCAGUAACAUGUAGUCAAUCUGCCCUUGGGACGGGGAUAUCCUCGGGAAACUGAGGUCAAUACCCGAUUGCCCAUCUAUGCUGGAAUGCUUGAUGGGUUAAAUGCGCAGCGAAUUGGAGUUGUUGCGCCCAAGGAUGAGACUGCACCUGAUUAGGUAGUUGGUGAGGUAACUGCUCACCAAGCCGAUAAUCAGUAGGGGCAAUGGGAGUUGGAGCCCCGAGAAGGGCACUGAGACAAGGGCCCUAGUCCUACGGGAUGCAGCAGGCGCGAAACCUUUGCAAUGCGCGCAAGCGUGACAGGGGAAUUCUGAGUGGUAGAGGGAUAUAUCUCUCUAUCUUUUGGCAACUGCAAAUAGGUUGCAGAAUAAGAUCUGGGUAAGACUAGUGCCAGCCGCCAUAUGCUUUAUCGCAUAAGGCACACGGUACGCGGUAAUACUAGCAGAUCGAGUGGUACCCACGAAUAUUGGGUCUAAAGAGUCCGUAGCUGGCCUGUUAAGUCCGCUGUGAAAUCUUGGGGCUUGACCUCAAGGCGUGCAGUGGAUACUGGCAGGCUCGAGAGCGGGGGAGGUUGGGAGUACUUAUGGGGUAGUGGUAAAAUACGUUGAUCCUAUAAGGACUACCAGUGGCGAAGGCGCCCAACCAAAACGCGUCUGACAGUGAGGGACGAAGGCUAGGAGAACGAAUCGGAUUAGAUACCCGAGUAGCCCUAGCAGUAAAUUAUGCGGACUGUGGUGUUGCGCCCGCUUCGAGCGGGUGCAGUGCUGUAGCGAAGGUGUUAAGUCCGCCACCUGGGGAGUACGGCCGCAAGGUUGAAACUUAAAGGAAUUGGCGGGGGAGCACCACAAGGGGUGGAUGCUGCGGUUCAAUUGGAUACAACGCCGGGAACAUUACCAGGGGCGACGGCAGGAUGAAGGUCAGACUAAAGAUCUUGCCUAACGAGCCGAGAGGUGCUGCAUGGCCAUCGUCAGCUCGUGGUGCGAACUGUCAGGUUAAGUCCUGUAACGAGCGAGACCC
rnacentral:rRNA from 1 species